rnacentral:misc_RNA from 1 species
AACCUAGCACACCUGCGGUGUGUACCUGCGGAAGGAUCAUUAAUGAAUAACUUUGGCGUGGUUGUAGCUGGCUCCUUGGAGCAUGUGCACACCCGUCAUCUUUAUCUUUCCACCUGUGCACCACAUGUAGAUCUGGAUAACUCUCGCCUUCUGGCGGAAACAGGGAUUGCUGCGUCGCAAGGCCAGCUCUCCUUGAAUUUCCAGGUCUACGUCUUUACAAACUCCAAUUGAAUGAUGAAG